AAAAAAAAAAAACCAAAUCUGAUCGCUCCCUUCGCUCCCCUCGUUCUCCUCCUCCUCCCCUUCGCUCCCCUCGUUCCCCUCCUCCUCCUCCUCCUCCUCCACAUCCGAACGAAUCGUCUUCUCCUAGGUCGUACCCUCUUCUCCCCUCACUCAAACCCCCUCGCUCUCCUCCUCCCGCUCCUCCGUCGCCGCAACCGAUAAGCUAGGGCUCCGGCGGCCGGAGUUCGGUUUCGAGGAUCUCGCGGGGACCGUCGCCGGAGGAGUAAGCGCCAAACGUCGAGGCAACGACGGUGGUGGGGAAGCAGGAGUCCGGCGAUCUGGUGGUGCUCGCGGCGGCGUCGAAGGCGUCGAAGGGGUAGACGGAGAAGAAGUUUUUGGUGGACAAGGACGUCGUUGACCGCUAUGCCCCAACCACCUCCCCACUGAGCAUCGAGAAAGACAUCAAGAAGCUGCUUGGAAUUUCAUAAGCGCUCUCAACCAGGUGUUGCGGUCUGUCCAUUUGGCCUUCAUAUAACUGCAAUAAGACUGUGUUGAGAAGUAUAAUUGUACACUCUUUUCUGUUUUGUCGAGAAUAAAUGUAGUGAUCAUGAUGUUUGUUUACUGUAUACUUUGUUUGCUUUGCAAUCAGUUGUCAUGGUUGUGUAUUGGAUGUUAGUGUUUAAAAUGCAGAGUUCAUCUUUACCUAAUUUUGUUGCUUUUAAGCUGUUCAAUAUCAACAUUGUAGCUUGCAUCUGCUUGUCUGUGGGUGAGUGGGUCUUCUAGUUUCCAACACCUUAAAAGAUGUGAUGCUUAAAAUGUGGUCUAUGCUUAAAAUGCGGUCUAUGCUUAUAAGACACCAGAUCCCAAGGUGAGUUUAGUUCAAAUAUAGGAGGAGCCCAGCACUACUAUUUCUUUUGGUGGUCGUUGAACACUGCUCAUUCACAAGACAAGUUUUGGAGUGGACAAUUUUGAAAGCAUUUUCCUAGUUAGUAUUUAUAAUUCAGUUUGGUUAUGGAUCGCAUAAUAUUUUCUUAAAAUUGGGCAAAUUAUGCUGCACAAUUCAGAUAGAAGUGCUUUUCAUGGAUUCUGCUUUGAACUUUGUACUAUCUCAAGAUUUUGCUAGUGUUUUUGUUAAACUACAAAAAAGAGUACUUCGAGUAAUUUGGUAUUAGUCCAAUUUUAGGAACUUAUUUAUAGAACUACGAUUGUGAUUUUCAAGUGAUGGUUACAACUUUUUCGAGAAUCUUUCUCAGUUCAAUGUCCAGGAAUGGACAGUUAUUAAGCCUCCGAUUUUUGACAUUCUAUAGCUAUAAAACCGCCAUAAAAUAUUGCUAUGCAACAUGCUACUCAUUUGUCUAAUCCCUUAUUAUUUCUUACUUGAUAGCGUUAUAAUCAUUCUCUUCUAUGCUUUUCUUAAUUGCUUCUGGUUCCUUCUCUUUUAGUACUUCUUUCCAUUAUCAAUAGUAGUUGCUUCUUUCUAUGAUGUAAAGGCAUCACUUCUAAUUUUACCAGUCGAAAUGUAUGGUUCUCUCUUUUCAUGAUUUAUUUACUUAUUGUAUGCAAUAAAGUGUUUCAAUUGUUAACUGAGUGGGUCUUAUCUUUCGGGCUUUUUUGCUUCCUCAAAGGAAAUGCUUUAAUAUAUGAUAAACUUUUAGCUCCAAUCCGAAAAAGCAAAAUGAAAUAUAGUUUUAGGGGUAUCUGGUGCUAGGGUUUCGAGUAAGGUGCAGUUGUUGUUUACUGUAUUUCUUUUCAACUACUAGUUAUUGUUUCUGUUGGUAUUUUGACGUUGUAGCAUCCCUUUUCUUUUCAUUGGAUUAGUUGAAUUACUUGAAUUCAAUGAAAAUAUAUGAGCAAAGGUUCUAGUUCCGUAUUACAGAGUAUUCAUAUUGUUUCUGUUGGUAGAGGCCCUUGUUUGUUCAACACAGUAGUGAAAGGUGCAUGCUACUUUCUCUUUUAUCAGAAAAAAAAGUCGAAACAGAGAAUAGAACUUGUUUCAUACUUGCUUUGAUGGUCCUGAUUUGUGCAUCAUAUAGCUUCUCUCUUUUCUUUAGUCGGGAUUGCCCUUCAGGUUCAACAUCUUAAUUGCCGAGCUCAUUACGACCGGAUCUGAUAUGAUAUUAUUAGCUUUUGUUUUUAUUUCUCCUUCUCUUGGGUUGAAAAGCUAGAGAUUAUUGGUACUGUGAUUUACUGACUAAAUACUCGUUUAAAGAUAUAUGGAUAAUACUUCGAGACAUUUUGGUAUUAAUUUGUGUAACUAUAAAAUUUCUUUUAUA